AUUACAGGUAUCAGUUAAGAAAACAAAGCAGUGGUGUUUUACCACUCUGCAGAGAAAGCUAAGGUUGCUAACCAAACAAAAUAACUUUACACUGACAAUGCCAAUUUUUACAUUUCUUUCAGAACAAGGGACACUCAAACUACCAGAGAAACGGACCAAUGGACUGCGAAGAACUCCUAAACAGGUGGAUCCAGGUUUACCAAAGAUGCAGGUCAUUAGGAACUAUUCUGGAACACCACCCCCAGCUCUGCAUGAAGGACCCCCUUUACACCUCCAGGCCGGGGAUACGGUUGAACUUCUGAAAGGAGAUGCACACAGUCUGUUUUGGCAGGGCAGAAAUUUAGCAUCUGGAGAGGUUGGAUUUUUUCCAAGUGAUGCAGUCAAGCCUUGCCCAUGUGUGCCCAAACCAGUAGAUUAUUCUUGCCAACCCUGGUAAGUAUUAAAAAUGUUUAUGUAGCUAGGUUGAAAUACCAUACCCUUAGCUCCAGGAUGCCUUAAAUGUGGGGGUAGUAAACCAUAUUCCAUUUCCAUUUGUCUCGGCUAAAGGUG
rnacentral:sRNA from 1 species